rnacentral:rRNA from 1 species
AAUAGAUACCCGGGUAGUCCACGCCGUAAACGAUGAGUGCUAAGUGUUAGAGGGUUUCCGCCCUUUAGUGCUGCAGCAAACGCAUUAAGCACUCCGCCUGGGGAGUACGGCCGCAAGGCUGAAACUCAAAGGAAUUGACGGGGGACCCGCACAAGCGGUGGAGCAUGUGGUUUAAUUCGAAGCAACGCGAAGAACCUUACCAGGUCUUGACAUCCUCUGACAAUCCUAGAGAUAGGACGUUCCCCUUCGGGGGACAGAGUGACAGGUGGUGCAUGGUUGUCGUCAGCUCGUGUCGUGAGAUGUUGGGUUAAGUCCCGCAACGAGCGCAACCCUUGUCCUUAGUUGCCAGCAUUCAGUUGGGCACUCUAAGGAGACUGCCGGUGACAAACCGGAGGAAGGUGGGGAUGACGUCAAAUCAUCAUGCCCCUUAUGACCUGGGCUACACACGUGCUACAAUGGAUGGUACAAAGGGCUGCAAAACCGCGAGGUUAAGCGAAUCCCAUAAAACCAUUCUCAGUUCGGAUUGCAGGCUG